AGUUCCCAAGAAGAGGGGGCACGCCACGCCACGCAGGUAUGCCUCUGCAGCCGCAGAACCAGAGAGUACUGCAGAGGGUUCUCCUCCACCCAGGAGAACAUCCCGAUGGUGAGGUCCGUCCAUGGCCCCAUAAGCCUGGAGGGCCCCAGCUGCCCAAGGCCUCCUGAGUGGGCUCGUACUGCGCAUGCACAUGCUAUGCGCUGCGCGUUCAACGUAGCCAGGCAUCUGGAAGAGUUCAAAGGUGGUGAGAGGCAGGAUCACUGACACGGGCUCUUGGGGAACCUGGGCGUCUAAUUCCAAGCUGGAACCUAACCAGUGCAGUCUAUUCCUCCCAAAAGUUUCCCCUGGCAGAUCCAGGGGAAACUUGAAAAUCUUGGCACAGCUGGGUGGGGCGGAGCUCUCCUCCGAUAAGAGGUACCCGGGAGGCCUGCUUGCUGAAGGUCCUGGCUGCUGGGUCAGGUGCGGGAGAGUGAACUGUGCGUCCGGGUUCCUCACAGCCCUCUGGAACAAGGGGGAAUAUAGGCCAGCCUGGACCUUGUACCCUGACAGGACCUGAGUCAGAAGAGGCCAGGUCACCAUUGCAGGCUCUUGGGUGAAACGAAGCAUCUGCAAAUGCGCAGGACGGCACCGUUCUGAACUAAGGCGGCUAGUCACCUUAAAGCGAGAUACCGCGAGAACUCUGAAGCCUCGCUCGGUGAGACCAGAGUGUCCUGGAAUGAGAGACACGUGGGAGCCGUGGUUCCUGUACAGGCCCCAGUUCCCAUCAGCAGCACGAACAAGUGGGAACUGACUGUCGCCACCUGUGUAGCAACAGUAACUCAUCACAUUUCAGCCGGUGGGGAUGCUCCACACGGGAACGUAUCCAGGUGGUUCAUCUGAGCCGUGGACCCACAGGCCUGAAGAGCCCUAGCUGACUAAGCCAUGCUGAAUGGAUCAUUUACAUUCGUGGAGCACUUCAGGACUCACGGCAGCCAACUACCAGGCCUCCGCUGUGGGAAUCUUCUUGGUAUGCAGGCACAGACAAGCCCCUUGAAGAUGGCUGCUGCCCCAGAUUUUCCUCUAGGUCCUCCUGUACUGAAUUUCUUCUAAGUAGCUCAUGGAAGAAUCUGGUUCAUUAUAUGUGAAGUUUAUUUGGAAGAAUGAAAAGAAUUGUUGCCCUCCAGAAGAACUGCUUAGUGACAUCUGUGGAGAGGUGCUGGACAUCUUGAGAUUCCUCCUGACCUAGGGCUAUGGAGUGGGGCCAAAGCCAGCACUAUGGUUGCCCUUUGUCACAUUGCUGCAGUUUGUAAGUUUGCAUUAGUCAAUAGCACUUGGAGGGUCUGAUUACUUACUUGUGAACAUUUGCUCUUGGCUGUAAACUGGUAAAUAAACAAAGGCUCUGCAUGAGAGAGCAAUGACAUUUUGGUAAUUCUAAGGGAAAAAAAGUCGAUUUGAGCACUUGAUUAUAAAGAGAGGAAACCAAGAUGUUACAUUUUGCAGCCGUUUGUCCCCCCCAUUUGUAACUGACAGAUUGGAUUUCACACAUGGAAACUGGAAGACGACUUGUCUUUAAAAACGGUCUAAUUACAUUUGGAACUUAAGGGAAAUAGAAGAUUCCAGGAUAUUUUUGUUUUGAAUUUGAAAUUGGGGACAGUGCAUGCACAGUUGUUUGUUUUCACACUUUAUGGGAAUGAAUCACACCAUGUCGACCGUGAGAUUUAAUUAUGUAUUUAGCAGAGAAGCUGGAGGUGUGCCAGUGCAAUAGCUAAGCUGCUGGAAUAGCCUGUGCACAGCCCCUUCCAGUUUCUAGACACUGCAAACCUUUCCUAAUAGCACGUUUAACAUGGGAGAUGGAAUAGUGUUGAUGAGAUGCAUCAAGUCUCAGCGCAGUGCUUCCGCGAGGAAACAAAAUGUUGAUGUUAAAAGAAGGACAUUUUUAUAAUGGGGAGCAAAGCUGCUGAACCUCUAGGCAUAGGGUCUAACUUUAAUUGAAGCAAUUUGAGCAAAAUGUGUCAUCUCUUCCUGUUCCCAUUGUUCUUUUUGUCUCCAAGUGGCUGCAUGAAAUCUCUUCAUCCUAAACCUUCACACGCAUGUAGAACUUGUUGCAAUAUUUAGAGGUUGGAGACCAAGGAGUGAAAUGAAACUUGAAUUUUUUUAUUUAAAAAUUUACCAUUCUUUUAAUGAGUCUUCUUCCAUACUCAAUUCAGAACUGGAUUGGCUGAGGAAAUUCUUAGAUUAAUUCUUAGAUUAAUAUAUGUUCAAAGAUUUUUUUUCUGAUAACAGCUAACUAAAUAGGUCUACAUAUUUAUGAAGGAUUCAUGAAGGACACUUACAUAAACUAAAAGGGAAUAGGCAAGACUGAUAUGAUUUUACCAUAAAAUGUAUUUCUUUCUUAAAUGUGUCUGUCCAGUAUUUUUAUUCUAAGGUUCUUGAAAGUAGCUGGGACAAACCCAGAGUUGCUUUUUUUUCUUAAUGUGUCAAAAGUCUAACAGAAGUCAUACAUUUGCUAGCAUGUGAGAGCUGUAAGGCUAAUUAAAUAUUUUUUUCUUAUUUUAUAUAAUUGUAUCAUCCUGGUCGAUUGACUGCAGAUGAUAAUUUAGAGUUUCAUUGUCCAUGGAAGAAAAUAAUAAAAAACAAAUUUUUCAUGGUAAAAAAGUCUGUGAUCCAAGGAUGUAACUCUAACAUUUAUAUUCUUAUGAUUAUUUUUGUCUGCAUUUUUCCUUGUCCCUACGUGGGGAUGGGAAUUCUACACAAAAGCAACAUAAUGACUUUGGGCAUAGAAUGGGAAAUGGAGAAUGCUAACUCCUUUUAGUUUAUAGUAAAUUCUAUCUGGAAACAAUAUUUGAUCUUUUGAUCCUUGGUCCCUCUGUCUAUAGCUAUUGAAUUCAUUCUCCUUUAAUCUAGGUUAUUGUUUGUGGAGGUUGUUGGAAUUUGGUCUCAGUGACUCUUCUGAUAGGCAAUGAUACAAUAUUUUUUCAAUAAGGUAUACAGCCUGGGGCCGACAGCACAGACUGGCUCUGGAGGUGCAGGAGCCUGCCCACCUUCUUAUACCCAGUCUGGGUUGUCUGACUCUGUCUAGCCAUAUUUCCUAGCCUCUGCAGUCAUAAGAAAUCCUAAGACAUUCAUGUAUUCUAUGCUAACUACCUUGAAGAGUGAAUUGUAUAUUUAGAUCCAAAGCAUGUGAGAUGAUUUCAAGUGAACUUAAGCCGUGACCAACACCUAACAGCAUUAUCAUGGUCUUUCCGGCUAAGUGCCAUACUUUGAGUAUCUGAGUUCACACAUAAAUAAUGUUAUACACCUUAUUCUGUUUUCCAGAAGAUGUUUCUUUGGAUCCCAGAUGUUCAAAGCAUCGUCAUGUUAGGAGCCAGGAAAUGUUUUGUCAUUUCUGUUAUGUGUGAAGAAUAAUAUUUAAAAUAUUUCCCUGAAUUUGUUAUUUUCUGUCUUGCUUUGCAAUUUCUAUCAUUUGUAAACUCAAGUAGGUUUUUCUCUGUAUGUUUUUGGUGUGCCUGAUUAAACCUGUUAUUGUGGUUUUAUUUUGACACUCUUGGUGUUAAUUUUCAGGAAACACCUGUCUAAAGAACAACAUAGAGCUCAUCCUACAGGAGUGAGCCAGCCAUCUCUGCCAGGCAUAGUGGAGUUCUAACAUCUGUGUGUUCAGGCCAAAUGGUGUCUGAACCAGUUUGAUUUAAUUUACUUAUCAUUCACGUUGGAGGUAAUUCACAAUAUAAAGAUAUGUUCACAAAGAGAUCAUUUCUGC
ensembl:lncRNA